GAUGAAGAACGUAGCGAAAUGCGAUAAGUAAUGUGAAUUGCAGAAUUCAGUGAAUCAUCGAAUCUUUGAACGCACAUUGCGCCCGCCAGUAUUCUGGCGGGCAUGCCUGUUCGAGCGUCAUUUCAACCAUCAAGCCCCCGGCUUGUGUUGGAGACCUGCGGCUGCCGCAGGCCCUGAAAACCAGUGGCGGGCUCGCUAGUCACUCCGAGCGUAGUAAUACAUCUCGCUCAGGGCGUGCUGCGGGUUCCGGCCGUUAAAAAAGCCUUAUUUACCCAAGGUUGACCUCGGAUCAGGUAGGAAGACCCGCUGAACUUAAGCAUAUCAAUAAGCGGAGGA
rnacentral:misc_RNA from 1 species